CCUCCGGCUCCGCCACCGCCGCCGUCGGCCAACGCCGAGUCAGGGGGACCGCCAUCGCCUCCGCCGCGAAGCGUGCUUCCGUGCACAAGCUCUCCAAGGAGGAGUUCUGGGCCUUGGCUGAGAAGAUCCGGUCGACGGACGCGGCGGCGGCCGUGGAAAUGCUCGAGUCGUAUCUCGCCACAGAUGGAUGAGGGGGCAGUUGAUAGGGAUUGUGGAGGAAAAGAGUUCCAUGCCAUGCCAUGCCAUGGUUUAGCAGUUGGGCUGUGGAUGGCGAUCACAGCUCACAAGACUCUUUGCAGGCUGAAGACUGAAGUCAGACAAACCGAGAAGCCCGAUCUGGAGAUCGUCGGAAUCAAGAUAAUCAUUCGCGGUAUACCAGGAGUGGAGAGGAGUGCUCUGUGUUUUAUGUGUAAAAACACAUCAUGGACUCCAGGCUAGACUUCCAAUAAAGGUUUACCAGUUUCAAACACCCAUGCACGUUUAAAACUAACAGCUACACACACCAUCUAUGAUCUAUCCUGAUUAUUUCAAGAGCUGUACUUCCCGUUACGAGUUUCUUCACAGGUAAAUACCCUACGCAUCUACUUAAAAAUUUCAAGCUGUCAGUUCAAAAAAGAAAAUCCAAGCUGUGAGAUCAAUGCUUAUCUGAAAUGCAGAAACACAGAUUGUGCAAUUGUACAAAAGACACAGCAGGUUGUAGAUAGAUUGUGCAAGCGAAAAUAGCAGAUUGCUCACUCGGAGACUAAAGAUCUGCAAAUGUCAAAACACCGAAUUUUGUCCCUUUGGAUUACACUUGUGAUCUAAGCCCUGAAAUGUCAAAACCGAAGUUCUCUUUUAUUGUUUUAGCAGUAGAUGGGGUUUUCUUCUCUGC